GACGAACGCUGGCGGCGUGCUUAACACAUGCAAGUCGAGCGGAAAGGCCCUUCGGGGUACUCGAGCGGCGAACGGGUGAGUAACACGUGAGUAACCUGCCCCAGACUUUGGGAUAACCCUCGGAAACGGGGGCUAAUACCGGAUACGACACAGCUUCGCAUGGGGUCUGUGUGGAAAGUUUUUCGGUUUGGGAUGGGCUCGCGGCCUAUCAGCUUGUUGGUGGGGUGAUGGCCUACCAAGGCGACGACGGGUAGCCGGCCUGAGAGGGCGACCGGCCACACUGGGACUGAGACACGGCCCAGGCUCCUACGGGAGGCAGCAGUGGGGAAUAUUGCACCAUGGGCGGAAGCCUGAUGCAGCGACGCCGCGUGAGGGAUGACGGCCUUCGGGUUGUAAACCUCUUUCAGCAGGGACGAAGCGUAAGUGACGGUACCUGCAGAAGAAGCGCCGGCCAACUACGUG
rnacentral:rRNA from 1 species